rnacentral:rRNA from 1 species
UGUCAAGAGCUCAGCAUGUGAAUCAGUGCUUUCCUUUUAGUGAGCGCUGAAUUGUGGUCUUACGACUUUUGCGUUCAUUAAUSGUCCGACCAUGUUUUUUGGAAUAAAAUAGCAGAGAGGGUGAAACUCCCGUGUGUCGGACCUUGCGAAGCAAAUUGUCACUGAGUCGAGUUGUUUGGGAUUGCAGCUCCAAUUGUACGGUGGUAAAUUCCAUCUCAAGCUAAAUAUUGGCCGGGGACCGAUAGCGAACAAGUACCGUGAGGGAAAGAUGCAAAGAACUUUGAAAAGAGAGUGAAAGAGUACCUGAAAUUGCUGAAAAGGAAGCGAACGAAGCUAGUGAAAGCUGCGUCAUACUUUCCAACUUGCUCGCAACUUGGACGCUGUGGCCAGYCCAGUUGGGCUUGAUUGCAACAGGUGAAAGCAGGUAAAGAAAAGAUUCCAUUUUCUCUCGCCCUUGUUACAUUUAUUGCAUUUGAGCUGAACAAAAUAGMUUUGUUUGCCCCGUCUAGAAACACGGACCAAGGAGUCUAACAUAUGUGCGAGUACUGGGGCAACAAACCUYGGYGCGCAAUGAAAMUGUCAGAGGCUGGAAUGUCUUGUACAUYGCACAGUCCGCC